GACAUUGGACUGGGGAGGAGGAAGCACAACUUUAUUUUCUGGCCCGAAGCUGGGUUGGUAUUUGGGGGAGUUCUUGGGAACACAGUGUGUCUGUGCAAUUUCAACCCUGGGGGAUCCAGGGGACUCCAGCCAUCCCAGAGGAGAUAAACCUGCCAGUAAUUUCAGCAAAUGAAACGUGGAACACGUCAAGGCCAGAGGAUGGAAAAGGCUCCAGUUUUGAUAAAAGGAGGCCUGCUUGGCUUGGAAUCCUCUCUCCUGCUGGUUGGGAGAUGCAAAGAUGUUUCCAGAGAGGGGCUGAUGAAUUGAGGGGAAAGAAAUGAGCCCAGUAUGAGUCCCCUUUCAGGGCUGAGCGGGUAUAAAACCAAACAACUUGGAACCGCUCCAAGAGAGGGGAUUAAAGCAACAUGUUAUUCUGAGUGAUUGCUUAAUUUAUUGAGCUGCGGCUGGAUCUGUAAUGAAAUACAGCCCUUGUAACUGAUAACCUCCUGCUGCCAUUGAACUUCUACAAUUAAGGAAUAUUUUCUGAGUUUCUCUGGAACGGCUCUGAAUUUUUAGCCUCUGUGGUAGGGUGCUUCUGAACAUUUGUUUUCCAGGCAAUUUUUUUUUAGUAUUAGGCUGAUGUUAAUAAAUAAGCAGCAUUUUAUUGAGUGUUUUGUGGGAACCAGGAACUUUAUAUACAUUGUUUCUAAUCCUGACACUAAUCCUGUCAAUAUCCAGUGAAAUAACUCCUAUUAUUCCCUAUUUUACAGAUGUGAAGCCACGGGAUGUUAGGUCAUUUUCUAGAGUGGUGCUGUCCAAGACAGUAGCUGUGAUGGCUCCUUGUGGCUAUUGAUGUGUAAAUUAGUUAAAAUUAAAUAAAUUUUAACAUUUACACCCUAGGUUGCACUAACAA
rnacentral:lncRNA from 1 species